rnacentral:rRNA from 1 species
UAGGUUAAUGAGGCGAACCGGGGGAACUGAAACAUCUAAGUACCCCGAGGAAAAGAAAUCAACCGAGAUUCCCCCAGUAGCGGCGAGCGAACGGGGAGCAGCCCAGAGCCUGAAUCAGUGUGUGUGUUAGUGGAAGCGUCUGGAAAGGCGCGCGAUACAGGGUGACAGCCCCGUACACAAAAAUGCACAUGCUGUGAGCUCGAUGAGUAGGGCGGGACACGUGGUAUCCUGUCUGAAUAUGGGGGGACCAUCCUCCAAGGCUAAAUACUCCUGACUGACCGAUAGUGAACCAGUACCGUGAGGGAAAGGCGAAAAGAACCCCGGCGAGGGGAGUGAAAAAGAACCUGAAACCGUGUACGUACAAGCAGUGGGAGCCUCUUUAUGGGGUGACUGCGUACCUUUUGUAUAAUGGGUCAGCGACUUAUAUUCUGUAGCAAGGUUAACCGAAUAGGGGAGCCGAAGGGAAACCGAGUCUUAACUGGGCGUUAAGUUGCAGGGUAUAGACCCGAAACCCGGUGAUCUAGCCAUGGGCAGGUUGAAGGUUGGGUAACACUAACUGGAGGACCGAACCGACUAAUGUUGAAAAAUUAGCGGAUGACUUGUGGCUGGGGGUGAAAGGCCAAUCAAACCGGGAGAUAGCUGGUUCUCCCCGAAAGCUAUUUAGGUAGCGCCUCGUGAAUUCAUCUCCGGGGGUAGAGCACUGUUUCGGCAAGGGGGUCAUCCCGACUUACCAACCCGAUGCAAACUGCGAAUACCGGAGAAUGUUAUCACGGGAGACACACGGCGGGUGCUAACGUCCGUCGUGAAGAGGGAAACAACCCAGACCGCCAGCUAAGGUCCCAAAGUCAUGGUUAAGUGGGAAACGAUGUGGGAAGGCCCAGACAGCCAGGAUGUUGGCUUAGAAGCAGCCAUCAUUUAAAGAAAGCGUAAUAGCUCACUGGUCGAGUCGGCCUGCGCGGAAGAUGUAACGGGGCUAAACCAUGCACCGAAGCUGCGGCAGCGACGCUUAUGCGUUGUUGGGUAGGGGAGCGUUCUGUAAGCCUGCGAAGGUGUGCUGUGAGGCAUGCUGGAGGUAUCAGAAGUGCGAAUGCUGACAUAAGUAACGAUAAAGCGGGUGAAAAGCCCGCUCGCCGGAAGACCAAGGGUUCCUGUCCAACGUUAAUCGGGGCAGGGUGAGUCGACCCCUAAGGCGAGGCCGAAAGGCGUAGUCGAUGGGAAACAGGUUAAUAUUCCUGUACUUGGUGUUACUGCGAAGGGGGGACGGAGAAGGCUAUGUUGGCCGGGCGACGGUUGUCCCGGUUUAAGCGUGUAGGCUGAUUUUCCAGGCAAAUCCGGAAAAUCAAGGCUGAGGCGUGAUGACGAGGCACUACGGUGCUGAAGCAACAAAUGCCCUGCUUCCAGGAAAAGCCUCUAAGCAUCAGGUAACAUCAAAUCGUACCCCAAACCGACACAGGUGGUCAGGUAGAGAAUACCAAGGCGCUUGAGAGAACUCGGGUGAAGGAACUAGGCAAAAUGGUGCCGUAACUUCGGGAGAAGGCACGCUGAUAUGUAGGUGAAGCGACUUGCUCGUGGAGCUGAAAUCAGUCGAAGAUACCAGCUGGCUGCAACUGUUUAUUAAAAACACAGCACUGUGCAAACACGAAAGUGGACGUAUACGGUGUGACGCCUGCCCGGUGCCGGAAGGUUAAUUGAUGGGGUUAGCGGUAACGCGAAGCUCUUGAUCGAAGCCCCGGUAAACGGCGGCCGUAACUAUAACGGUCCUAAGGUAGCGAAAUUCCUUGUCGGGUAAGUUCCGACCUGCACGAAUGGCGUAAUGAUGGCCAGGCUGUCUCCACCCGAGACUCAGUGAAAUUGAACUCGCUGUGAAGAUGCAGUGUACCCGCGGCAAGACGGAAAGACCCCGUGAACCUUUACUAUAGCUUGACACUGAACAUUGAGCCUUGAUGUGUAGGAUAGGUGGGAGGCUUUGAAGUGUGGACGCCAGUCUGCAUGGAGCCGGCCUUGAAAUACCACCCUUUAAUGUUUGAUGUUCUAACGUUGGCCCCUGAUCGGGGUUGCGGACAGUGUCUGGUGGGUAGUUUGACUGGGGCGGUCUCCUCCUAAAGAGUAACGGAGGAGCACGAAGGUUGGCUAAUCCUGGUCGGACAUCAGGAGGUUAGUGCAAUGGCAUAAGCCAGCUUGACUGCGAGCGUGACGGCGCGAGCAGGUGCGAAAGCAGGUCAUAGUGAUCCGGUGGUUCUGAAUGGAAGGGCCAUCGCUCAACGGAUAAAAGGUACUCCGGGGAUAACAGGCUGAUACCGCCCAAGAGUUCAUAUCGACGGCGGUGUUUGGCACCUCGAUGUCGGCUCAUCACAUCCUGGGGCUGAAGUAGGUCCCAAGGGUAUGGCUGUUCGCCAUUUAAAGUGGUACGCGAGCUGGGUUUAGAACGUCGUGAGACAGUUCGGUCCCUAUCUGCCGUGGGCGCUGGAGAACUGAGGGGGGCUGCUCCUAGUACGAGAGGACCGGAGUGGACGCAUCACUGGUGUUCGGGUUGUCAUGCCAAUGGCACUGCCCGGUAGCUAAAUGCGGAAGAGAUAAGUGCUGAAAGCAUCUAAGCACGAAACUUGCCCCGAGAUGAGUUCUCCCUGAGACUUAGAGUCUCCUGAAGGAACGUUGAAGACGACGACGUUGAUAGGCCGGGUGUGUAAGCGCAGCGAUGCGUUGAGCUAACCGGUACUAAUGAACCGUGAGGCUUAACCUU